AUUGAACGCUGGCGGCAGGCCUAACACAUGCAAGUCGAACGAGUGGCGGACGGGUGAGUAAUGUCUGGGAAACUGCCUGAUGGAGGGGGAUAACUACUGGAAACGGUAGCUAAUACCGCAUACCAUCGGAUGUGCCCAGAUGGGAUUAGCUAGUAGGUGGGGUAACGGCUCACCUAGGCGACGAUCCCUAGCUGGUCUGAGAGGAUGACCGCCAAAACUGGAACGGAGACACGGCCCAGCCCCCAAGGGGAGGCAGCAGUGGGGAAUAUUGCACAAUGGGCGCAAGCCUGUAGCAGCCAGGCCGGGUGUAUGAAGAAGGCCUUCGGGUUGUAAAGUACUUUCAGCGGGGAGGCGUUACCCGCAGAAGAAGAACCGGCUAACCCGGUGCCAGCAGCCGCGGUAAUA
rnacentral:rRNA from 1 species